rnacentral:rRNA from 1 species
CUCGUGUCGUGAGAUGUUCGGUUAAGUCCGCUAACGAGCGCAACCCUCGCUGUAUGUUACAUGUGUCAUACAGGACCGCCGGUAUCAAGCCGGAGGAAGGUGGGGAUGACGUCAAGUCCGCAUGGCCUUUAUGUCCGGGGCUACACACACGCUACAAUGGUCGGUACAAUGGGUUGCUAAGCCGCGAGGUGGAGCCAAUCCCCCAAAGCCGGCCUCAGUUCAGAUUGCAGGCUGCAACUCGCCUGCAUGAAGCUGGAGUUGCUAGUAAACGCGCGUCAGCUAUAGUGCGUUGAAUACGUUCUCGGGCCUU